GUGACAUCAAAGAAUCCUUUCUUCCUUCUUUCUUGUUUGUGUUUGUUGCCUGCAGUUCCAAGCAGGUGGACUCUCAGUGUCUUGCAAGUGACAGCUAGCAGCAGCAGGUCCAGCCAGGAGGCACAGCACCCUGCAACCUCCAGGGGCCUUUGUGCAACAGCAGAUGUUGAUGCCCUAGAAGCACGGUGCGGAGCACAUCCUGGGAUCAAGGUGCCACGGACUGGAAAAUGCUGCUGUGGCGGAGUUCCUGUGUGAAGACAAAACUCCCAGUCCCC
rnacentral:lncRNA from 1 species